rnacentral:lncRNA from 1 species
AAGAGAGCCCCUGACAUGUUCCAGGGAAAGCAAGGGGCUCAAUGUGGCUGGAAUAGAGAGGAUGAGAGGAUGAGCAUGCAGAGGUCAGGACAAGAGCAGCUGGUCCAGCCACACUGUGUGCACAGGGACAGGCCUGUCUUCACCUGUGCUCACCGGGGCCUCUUCCAGAGGUCUCUGCAGCAGAAAGCAUGUGCUCCACGUACCGGCCCCCAGCGUCCCACCAGACCAGCGCCGAUCCCUGUGGGAGCUGAAGAGGAACUGUGCUGAAUGAGAACAUUUAAAGUGAAUCAUGUGUGGACUCCCUAUGCUCCCUGACUCCUUGUUUAUUUCUACCUUUUCUGGCGGAUGCUAUUAAUAAAAUGCUAGGAAAAUCUUUAAACAUGACAUGAGUCAAGGGUACAGAGCUCUCAGUUCAGGCCCUCAGUGCCUAAGAAGCAAAUUUUAUUUGUUUUUUAGAAUGCCACGUAGUUUUCUAUUUCAAGCUCCCCUUCUCUCAAGGCAGAUAAAACUCUGCUUCCAAUCAUGAAGAUGCCCUCCUUUGCCCCCUGGUGUAUUGACGAGAUUCGAGGGCAGGGCUCUGGGUCCUCAGAACCAUCUCUCCAUGCAGCAUCUCCUGCAAGAUCCGUCUCUCAUCCGACCUUGGCUCUGAGUCUGUGAAGGUCACUGCUAAAUUGUCGGUGACAUCUCUGUCAUUUCCAGCCCCUCGUGUCCACCAGGGAUUCUCACUGGCCCUAGGUUCUCAGCAGCUUAGACUGGCAUGUUUUCUCUAGCGUCCUG